ACUCCUGCGGGAGGCAGCAGUGGGGAAUUUUGGACAAUGGGCGAAAGCCUGAUCCAGCCAUGCCGCGUGCAGGAUGAAGGCCUUCGGGUUGUAAACUGCUUUUGUACGGAACGAAACGGCCUUUUCUAAUAAAGAGGGCUAAUGACGGUACCGUAAGAAUAAGCACCGGCUAACUACGUGCCAGCAGCCGCGGUAAUACGUAGGGUGCAAGCGUUAAUCGGAAUUACUGGGCGUAAAGCGUGCGCAGGCGGUUAUGUAAGACAGUUGUGAAAUCCCCGGGCUCAACCUGGGAACUGCAUCUGUGACUGCAUAGCUAGAGUACGGUAGAGGGGGAUGGAAUUCCGCGUGUAGCAGUGAAAUGCGUAGAUAUGCGGAGGAACACCGAUGGCGAAGGCAAUCCCCUGGACCUGUACUGACGCUCAUGCACGAAAGCGUGGGGAGCAAACAGGAUUAGAAACCCUGGUAGUCC
rnacentral:rRNA from 1 species